rnacentral:lncRNA from 12 species
GGAGAGUCACCAACCAGCUCUCAGCUUGGAAUUGGUUUUAAGUACUUGUCAACUUCUCCAAAACAGUUUGAAUUCCCAACACUUGGCAUUUAUCUUCGCAGAAAUAUCCUCCUGGACAGUACUGGGUUAAAGGGGAAGCAGUCUUUCUGGGUCCCCUGUGAAGCCCCUUGCUAUGUCUCCCCUAAGUGCAAUUCUUGUUUCUAUGCAAUUUAGUUCUAGUUUCUCCCUUUUCCAUUACCGCCCCCCCCCCCCAGUAUUUGUCCAGCAAAAAGCCUGCUCCAUGCAUUAUUGAAGAGGAGGGGGCUCCAUUUGUUCGGGGGCGGGGGAAAGAGCGGAUCCUCAGUUUCAGCCUUGGGGAAAAAAUAGCCCUUUUUCUUCAAAGGCAGGAGUCACAUUCCUUUUGCACUUCUGAUAGGAGCUGCUCCAGAGAACACCAGCUGAAAGUAAAUGUCCUUGAGGGCCCCAGCAUUCUCCUCAUCAUUAAUGCACGGGCAUGAUCAUCCAGGCUUCAGAACCUGCCUGGAAGAGGUAACCCAUCCCCCCAUCCUUUCAAGGACACUGUCUUUGGACUUCUGGUAAUGCAUCUAUAAAUAUUUGCAUUGGAUGUCUACAGGUAGGUUUUCUGUUAUUAACAUCCUCACAUCCAGUAAGUACCUAAGUGAACAUAGACUUAAACAGGAAACACACAGCACCCUCUGGAGCAGGCCAUUUGUAUCCCUUGAAAAGGUUUCGAUGACCUUGGAUGUUUUUUAUUAAAGGAAUUCUGUUGCCAUCUGUCAGCAAAAGUCGUAUUCUUUCUAGAAACAGUGUGCUCUCUAACUUUGCUGGAGGGAACCAUAGCAGUAGCCAAGGUCCAUUAAAAUGUUCUCUUUAUUCCCUUGUCCACCCCCAGAUGCCGGAAGAAGCAUCAAACACCAGGGAAGCAGAGGACACAAGCUUGGAUGUGAAAUAGCAACACCUUAUGCACUGAAGAAUAAUAAAACAAUGUUUUUAAUUACAAAAGAAAAUGUAGGUAAUCCAGGCGAUGUGCUGGGCUUUGUGGAACCUCACAAAAUGGCAGUCCCCGAACUGACUUUUCUCUAGAAACCAUUGAGACCCACACCCUCUUUUGUGUUUCUGGUCCUCGCAAACAGAGAACCUAAAUCACUUGGAAGGCUUGGUUCUUUCAUUCAAUGUUAACAUUGGAGGGUCCUAUUUUUCUCUAAACGGUUUACAGACCUCUCUAAGCAGACUCGAAGCAAUCCAGGGCCGAAAAGCAUUGCCUAGAUUUUCAAAGGAUUCUCUGAAGGUUUAUGCAAAUUUCUGCAGCAAAAAUGUUUGCUCGCUUCACGGCAACCCUCGGGUGUUUACAGAUUUGAGCCAAUUAGAUGGGGUAUCUUCUGUGCUCGACACCUCGAGUCUGUCUGCAUGAAACACCAAAAUGGGGGGUUUCUGGCCACUAAAAGGUGUGUGUGUGUGUGAGAGAGAGCGAGAGAGAGAGCGCGAGCAAGAGGGAGAAUUCCCCAAACUCUUUAUUUAAAGGUAGAUCCAUGAUUUUUCCCAGCUACCAAAAGAAACGUAUGUAACUACAUUUAUUUAUGACCAACACUUCCUGCAACGUGUAAUCUAUGUGUAUGUACAAAUACACCAAAUAUAUACCCAGAAAACCAAAUUUGUAGGUGUACAAAUACUCUGCAAUGCACCAGCUAUUACAACAGAGUUGGGUUUUUUUCCUCUGUACAAGAGCUACAGUUUUUUAAAAGAUUUUAUUUAUUUAUGAAACACGCAGAGAGAGAGAAGCAGAGAGAGAAGCAGGCUCCACGCAAGGAGCCCGAUGGAGGACUCGAUCCCUGGACUCCAGGAUCAUGCCCUGGGCCAAAGGCAGGCGCUAAACCACUGAGCCACUGAUCCCCUUACAAUUUUACUAUGGGUUUGGGGCGAUGGGUCAAGAAGGUAUAUACUUCCAGAGCAACACAGAAUAGAGAGGAAAUAAAGACAUUGCUACUCCCCUUCA